AGAAUCGAAGAGACAUUUUCAAUCUUUCUGAGUGUUAUAUUGGCAGGACUUCCUCCAAAAAAAGUUUAAACUCUUAUCGGAAAAAGUUUCUUUAAAAAGUGAAGGUGUGGUUGACGAAUGGGCAUAUUUGAAAUCAAUAUCAGCAAAAUAAUAACGAAGAUAUAAAUAUUCUGGAAUAUGUCUUUAAUCGUUGAUCAACCUCAGGGAAAAAAUAAAAAGUACGAAAUCCCAGAAACGCGAGAAGAAUUACAUACAGAUCAAAAAGAAAUCACCAAAUGUAGAAACCCAUCUCCCCAAAAUGAAAAAAUUCCAGCAACGCAAGAAGAAUUUAAAAAAUAUCAAAAAGAAAUAACCACAUUAAAAAAUCCAUCUUCCCAAAAUGACGAAACCUCAGAAAGGUCACAAGAAUUACAAAAAGAUGAAAAAGAAAUAACAGAAUCCAAAAAUUCAUCUCACAAAAAUUACGAAAUCCCGGAAAUAAGUCAAGAAUUACAAAUUCAGCAUACUGAAACAACAGUAUCCAAAAAUCCAUCUCCCCAGAGUAACAAAAUCUCAGAAACAUCACAAGAAUUACAUACGGAUCAAAAAGAAAUAACACAAUCCGAAAAUACAUUUCCCCAAACUUAUGAAAUCCCAGAAACUUCACAAGAAUUACAAACAGAUCAAAAAGAAAUUACAGAAUCCAAAAAUCCAUAUCCCCAAAAUGAGGAACUCCCAGAAACAAACCAAGAAUUGCAAACUCAUUAUACACAAAUAACACAAUCCAAAAAUAUGGCUCACCAAAAUUGCGAAAUCCCGGAGAGAACACAAGAAUUACAAAGUGAGCAUACUGAGACAAAAGAAUCCAAAAAUCCAUCUGCCCAGAGUAAAAAAAUCUCAGAAACGUCACAGGAAUUACAAACAAAUCAAAAGGAAAGUACAGAAUUCAAAAAUCCAUCACCUCGAAAUAAGGUACUCCCAGAAACAACACAAGAAUUUCAAACUCAUCAUACAGAAAUAACAGAAUCCAAAAAUCCAUCUCCCGAAAAUGAUGAAAUCCCAGAAACGUCACAAGAAUUACAAACAGAUCAAAUAGAAGUAGCAGAAUCCAAAAAUCCAUCUCCCCAAAAAAAAGAUCUCCCAGAAACAACAAAAGAAUUACAAAAUGAUCAUACAGAAAUAACAGAAACCAAAAAUCCAUCUCUCCAAAAUUAUGAAAUAGCAGAAACGUCACAAGAAUUACAAACAGAUCAAAAAGAAAUAUUACAACCAAAAAAUCCAUCUCCCCAAAAUAAGGAACUCCUAGAAAGAACACAAGAAUUACAAAAUGAUCAUACAGAAAUGAAAGAAUCCAAAAAUCCAUCUCUCCAAAAUUAUGAAAUCCCAGAAACGUCACAAGAAUUACAAACAGAUCAAAAAGAAAUAACAGAAUCCAAAAAUCAAUGUCCGAAAAAUGAUCCCUCCGAAAACUUCGAUAUGAAAGAUUUAAAUUUUUGUGGAAUGAAAAAUUCGGUGAAUCCCAACGUUUUCAUACAAAACUUUGAGCGUUUUGCAGCCACGGAAAAAUGGGAUGAAAAUGAAAAGCAAAAUUGUUUUAUUCAAUCUCUCGUCAAAUACGCUGCGAUUUGGAUGGAAGAACGUGGGUAUGGAACCUAUGACGAAAUGAAAGAAGCCUUUCUAACAUUUUACUGGAGUCAAGAUGUUCAAAAAUCUUUUAGAAAUCACUUAGAACUUGGAAAGUACAGGACAAAAUAUAAAUUAGCCAUGGCUAAUUACUUUUCUAAAUACGCCUAUGGUGCCAUAUUUUUAGAGAAUGCUCCCUCAGAGAUGGAAAUAAUUUCAAAGCUUUCGAAACAUUUUGAUCCUAAUAUAGAAAAUGAGUUUUUAAAACAAAAAGUGCAGACCAUCGAAGAAGCUGUAGACAUGUUGAGAAGAAUAGAGUCUUUGAAAUGGAACAGACCAAUCAGUAAAAAGCAACAUUUUUUUAUGAUGCCGAGCAAUUCUCCAGAAGAUAAAAAUAAAAAAAGUUAUCAGUUCUGGGCUUUCCUUUAUUUUUUUGUUGGUGCUUUUGUAGGUUUAGGCUUCUUCGCUAAACUUUUUAUGAAAAAUUGACGAAUCAACAGUUGCAAAUAUAAAACAAGAAAUUUAAAUAUUUCUAGAUACGCUGUUGACCACUUGGAUAUACCUGCCCCCCAGAGAUCUCAAACAAUUCCAAAUUCUGCUACUAGUCAUUCUUCCAUUCAUUCUGCAUCACUGUGCAUCUGCGGAAGACGCAGCUGAGACGCAUUUAGAAAAUUCUGCUAAAAUUUUACUUUUGGAGUAAAAUAUACAAAUCAGAGUUCUCGUCUUUACGGGCGGACGACCGGACGUAGAGAGACAUAAUGAUUGCCUUACAAUUAGAGGGCACAUACAAUUCUUCCUUCUUAAUCGAGCAGGAUGUCCGGGACCGCCAAAAGUAAGGAGGAGGUCUGUUAUACAGUCAGAAUUCAAGAAGCGAUCCUAAAUUUUGACAAUUUGAAAAACGACCAAGUAGAAGAAAUUGCCCCUACUCCCCAACCCAAAGAAAAUAAUGAACUCUCGAAGAAACUCAAUCCUUUCAAAAAUGUUAAAUUUUCCGGCCAAAGUGAUAUCCAACAUCCAAAAUGUUUCAUUGAAACAUUCGAAAAAAUAGCAGUUGAGGCUAAUCUGAAUGAAAGCGAAAAGCAAUGUUAUUUCAUUGAAUCACUUGUUGAUGAUGCUGAAAUAUGGUUAAAAAAUCGUCAAUUCGAAAGUUACGAGGAGAUUAAAAAUGAUUUUUUAAACUUCUACUGGAGUCCAAAUAAGGAACAAUCUUUUCUAGAUCAUCUGGAUGUAGGAAAAUACGACAAAAACUGCGGGUUGUCAAUGAAAGAAUAUUUUUUAAAGUACUUCAAUAUAGCAAAAUUCUUGGAGACAACUUUCUCCAAUGAAGAACUGAUUUCAGAUCUUCUCCAACAUUUUGAUUUUAACGAGGAAGUAGAAACUGCACUUCAACUUCAAUCAGUGAAAACCCUUGAAGAAGCUUUGGAUGUUUUAAGGAAGGUUGAAGCUCCAAUUCCCAAAAAGUCAAGAAAAUCAAAAUCUUACAAAAAACGAAAAAAUAUGUUUUCGUUAAUACCACAUUUAGAUAGAAUACGGCGAGGCGAAUUAACAUUCCCCGUUAUUAUCCUGACAUUUUUAAUCGCUUUAUAUACAGAAUGUAUUAUUAUCAGGGUUUUUUUUCCUGAUGAUAUUUCUACUGAGGAUAAUCAGACAAUUGAGUAUAUCAUCAAUAAGAAUAAUAGUACAUACACCGAAAUUCCAUACUUCCAAAAAUUCAACCCUUUCGAAGCUUUGAAAUUCUCCGGAAGACAAAAUUUAAUCCAUCCAAAAAGUUUCAUUCAAAAUUUCGAGCACAUUGCAGCGGAAGAAAAUUUGGAUUUGAACGCCAAGAAAUAUUAUUUCAUUCAAUCACUCGUCGAGGAUGCUCAGGAUUGGUUAAAUGUUCGUGGUUAUGGAACUUAUGAGGAAAUUAAAGAUACCUUUCUUGAAUUUUAUUGGAGUCCAGAAAUUCAGAAAUCGUUCCUAGAUUAUUUAAUAAAUGGGAAGUAUGACGAAGAAUCUGGAUUGUCGCUGAAUAAAUAUUUUUUCAAGUAUGUUAAUGAAGCGAAAUUUCUGAAAAAUGCCCCCAGCGAGGAAAAAGUAAUUUCUUAUCUUCUGAAUCACUUUCAUUUCAAGUUGAAAGUACGAAUUGCACUUAAAGUUCGGCCAGUGAAGACCCUCGAAGAAGCUUUGGAUAUUUUAGCAAAUGCAGAAACUUUCGAUAACUCUUUUUUCUAUAAAUACAGAUUUAAUAUCAUGAUCGGCCUGAGCGUUGCACUUUGCGUUAUUAUUGCUGAAUACGUGGUGCUUACUUUAGCAAAUAUACCGAUUUUUUGUUAUUUUUUCGAUAUCUGUCUGAAAACUGUGAUUACACUCGGCAUAAUUAAUAUCUCUCUGACGGUCAUGUUCAUCACUAGCGUAUUUUAACAUUUCUGUUUAUUUUACAAACAAAUAUCUACUUGGAAUGUCGUGUCUACGGAAUAUGUAUUUUAAUUUUCUAAUUAUGUUGGUUUCAUUAUCUACUGUUUAAUUUUUACUUUAUGAUAACGAAAUCGAUGAUAGUGGCCAAAUAUAAAUCGAAUUUAGUGUAUUGAAAAUAUAGUUUAGAAAUUUAGAAAUUUUCAGUUCGAUGAAAUGAUAAAUUAUUCAGAAAAUGGAUUAUAGUAGAUAUUAGAAUAUUAUGAAACGGAUGGUUAAUUAAAUUUCGAUUUAGUGUCUAAUUCAACUUCUUUGGAUCACGAUUAAGUUUUCGAAAAAUGUUUAUUACAAUAGAGAAAUGCCUAUUUUUGUAUAAUAUUUAAGCAACUAUAUUCAGUUCGAAUUGAUAUUAGGAGAAAUACCUAUUAAUAAAUUAAAUAUC